UUGGGGAGACGCUUCGGAGUCAACCAUGUGGUCAAAUGAUUUGUCUGCAGAAGGCAGCGAUCCUACAUAAACAUGGAGGUCUCUGUCUGACUUGGACAGAUGGCUAAGACUGAUCUGUCCCCUCCAUACAAC
rnacentral:snoRNA from 1 species